UAGAUACCUGUUUUUUCAAUUGUAGAUCUCCCCUCCGUUUUCCCUACUUCAGGAGGCAUUAGAAGAAUCUGUAUCAAAUGACAAAGAUACCAUCUGCAACUAGUUGGGUAUAGUGGAGUAGGGCUCUUAAUUGAGUUCAUCUAAUCUCACACGACCAUGCCCGCACAAUGAGAGGUUGAAAAGCUUUAGCUCUUAAUUGAGUUCAUCUUUGUGCAUCUAGCCAUAGUUCCUUGCAAGCUUGCUGGUGAUACUGUGACCUGGAGCUGAAGUUAAAGCUCUUCAGUUCAAAGACAUUGCGUUGGAGACAAAGUGAAUGUUCUUUUCUAGCCCCUGUUUUUUGGUGAUGCUUUGGAAGCAUUGUUGAAGUUUUCAGCUUCCAACUGCUUCUUUAUUUCCAUUGGAAUUUCAAACUUUGAUCAUCAAUGUGGGAAUUCAACUAAGUCGACUUACCUGUUAUAGGAUGCGGGUGGCAAAAGACCGGUGCUCUCAUUAACCUCAGAGCUUUCUACAUUGUGGGAAUUCCAACUGUUGUUCUCUUGGCUCUCGUCUUCCAUUUUGGAGGAAAGGUGAGCUUUCAUCUUUCAUGGCUACACCCUUCUUGUAAAGGUUUGCUAAUUCAAUAGAUAAACAGACAUCCCAACACAUGAGAAUGUGGCAUACAUCUCACCGGUUGUCAAAAUAGGCUGAUUCAAUUAGCAAGUUGCUAGCACGUGCUUUGAGUAUCACACAAUGGAGACCAACCAUGGGCACCACAUCUACAAACUUUGACCAUCAAUGUGGGCCACAAUGGUGCUGUAUGCCAUCGAAUCAAUUCAUCUACGGAUUAAUGGAUUCCCCAUAAAUCUGGACAUUCUAAUACUCAUGUGGCCAAAAUCAUGUGAAUUUUAAAGUAUUUAGAGCAUGAUUUUACACCAUUCCCUAU